CGACAGCAUCCUGAAAAACGGUCCGCAUUGCUAUCCCAUGAGGUGAUGGAACAUUUACGUACCUAAAACGAAACUUGCGAGUGCAUUAUGGUCAAGAUGGCGUCCAUGACAAGCGGGUUUGUUACCUAGGUAUACCUACCUGAUGCAAUCGACUUAGACGUUUGGGAAAAUUGACCAGCGCCAUCCUGAACAAUGAACAUUGAACUUGGGAGUCGUUCAUGGACAACGUCCGCCAUCUUUUCCAGUCUGCGUUACCUACCUAUCUGAUGCAAUCGGAUUAAAUGCGUUUGGGCCGGACUUAUAAUUAGAAAAUUUACAACAUUCCUGCAUCAGAAUAUGGACAUCAAAACGAGCCGUUAAUGGCCAACGUUCGCCAUCCAGUCCCAGUCCAGUCAGCAAGUGCUGAAAUCGGAUUAAACGUUGAGGGCUGGACUAAUUUUGAUGCUGUGUCAAAGAAAUCGAUCCAAGGAGAACCUACGCUGACAAAGAGCUGGCCUUCCCGUACUCCCAAUGUGCUCGUGAACUCCACUUCAUUGUGCCAGCCUAUGCAUGAAAGUCCAAAUGGUAAUCUUGCAUCAAGAAGUUUAAGGAGAAAAUUCAACUAAAGCCGGUCUACGCAGUCCUACGAGUGCCAGUCAUUACGAUCUUGCCGUUCCAUUAUCGCAUCAAAGAGUACUCUGGGUUAUACUCUUUGAUUGUCAUGCAGGGAGUUAGAAAAUCAACAGCAGCGCGGGAGGUUAUUCUUAUUUGAUGGAAGAUGUCUGGAAAGUUUUACAGAAGACAAGUGCGCCAAAUCGGAGUCGUUUCUCGUUUACCAGUGGUCGGCCAUCUUGCAGUCUUUUAGCGUUACCUGAUGCAAUCGGAUUUAACGUACGUUUUAGCUUCGUGUAAUUGGAAGCUGCCAUUGUUAAGACAAUCCUGCUGAAAGUGAAUCCCGAAGGUUUGCCAACAAAUCCUACGGAAGAGUGCAAUCGGACCCUUGGCAGCCGUUUUCUCGGGUCUGCCGUUGCCAUCACGUUACCAACGAACUAUAAAGGGCUGGACCGAUUUGGAUACUGUGUCAAAGAAAUCGAUCCAUGGAGACUUGAAGCUGCUAACGACCUAGCCGUCCCAAUAUUCAUCAUGUGCAUGUGAACUCCGCUUAAUCCCACCAGCCGGUGCAUGAAAGGUGGAUCAAUUUGGAUGCUGUACCAAAGUAAAUACUUGAUCCAAGAAACUGCGGAAAAGCUAGUAUUCCAAAUAUUGGCAGUGUGGACACGACACCAUGUUCCAUCGAGAUCGAAAGGUGAAUCAAUUUCGAUGUCGUGUCAAAGAAAAAUAUACCAGUUGAUGAAAACCUUCCAAUAUCGACUGCGAGAAUAAUCAUACAAUACACAACUCCAUCCCUUCAGCCUGUGCAUGAAAGAUUCCAGAACAGCCUCUCUUUUAUGGCAGGUCUGCAAUUUGCAAAGUGAGACAGCUUUGCAUUCGGCUGGUUUCCCAUAAUCUUUGUUGAUAUUAUCCAGCCAUUAUGCAGUGCAUCGUUCUUCCUACUGAUGGUGAUUACGCUUCCCAGACAAAGCCGGAAUCAAUAAGGCUUCGGAUAUCAGAAGAGCAGCCUUAUUAAGGUAGGAUUUUUUUUCUUUUGCAUGGUGUAUUGCAUGUCAUAUUUUGUGUAAAGGGGGGAAAAGUGAAUAGUGCAUAUAGUGACUAAGAAGAAGAUCGUCAACUGUAUUGAGCUAACCGAGAGAGUAGUAAGUGAGUUGUGACUAUCUUCUCAAUCUAUCAUCUUGGCGAUGUAAGAUUGACCUCAAUGAUUCUUAAAGUAGACCCUUUCGAAGUCUGCGUCAGUUUGCGUUAUAUUAACAAGUGACUAUGUAUUCAUAGCCACAGUAAUGAUAAGACGUAAACUGACUGGUCGACGAACGAGACUAUGGAGAAGUAUUGUAGUCAAUUCUUUCGUUUCCAAGUGCCAUGGAUUUGACGAUUGUUAUACCUCAUUUAUUAUUACAUGAAGUAAUACUUUUUAAAAAGAGGGUGAGUAGUUGACUUAAUAAAUAGUAUGUUCGUUUAUUGUUACCGGCGUGUGAUGCCAUAAGAUCAUAUUACACUUCUUUAAUAAACGAGCACACUUUUACAAUAAAUUAUUACAUUGUGUGUUUAUGUUGUUUUAAUAAUUUCAUUGGUUAUUCACAGGACCAAGUGAUCGGUCUACUGCCAGUAUCAGUUCUACACCAGCAACUCCGGUAGUGGAUCUUGAUUCAAGAUUAUCGUCGUCCCUGUUGAAUAAUUGUAUGGAUAUUGAAUAUGAGAGAGAUUCGAGAAGGGCAGCUAUAAAAGGUAGGAUUUUUCUUUUAUUAAUUUUAAGCAGUGGGGGAAAAGUGAAUAGUGUCUGGAGAUAUUUUCAACUGAUCUUUGCACAUCGUAAGUACAGUUUAGUUGUCUUCUUAUCUUGGUGACAUAAGAUUGAUUGCAAUGAUUCUUCAAAGGUCUCUUUGGCGGAUUCAAUCAAUUUGCAUCAUAUUAAUUUGUAGAAGUAUGAAUUCAUAAUUGUACUUUUUUUAUGAAGCAAAAUGAUUGUCUUUGCGAACAAACCUGUGCAGACACAUUGGAAUCAUGUCUUCCGUUCCCAAGUUGAGUGAUAGUCAACGCCCAAUUCUUAAAACAAUUAUUUUCGUUUUUUCUUAUGAUUAUGCAAUAAUAUAUACCUAAUACAUUUUCCUUACAGUACACCAUUUUGGAAGCAGUUCGUUUGACAGGGGUUUCCAAGGCGUAUGUCAGGUGGAACCUUAGUUAGAAGUAGUACUGUUGUAAAUUAAAGCUCAUUUCAUGAGGUGUUAUAACCCUUUCGUGUAGUGUUGUUUUUUUGUUAUAAUCAUGAUUGUGAUUAAAAAAAUUAAACAUUCCGAAGCGAGAGGAUGAGGGUGGCUGUAAGGGGUGGUAAAGGAGGCCACUAAAAGGGAUAUAGCACCUACAUGUAAUUUGCCUUAUUUAGAUAGGUAUGUACUUACUUCCGCUACCCAUUCAUCUUUGCUUCUUCAUUGCGUCAGAAUAAAUAUCUCCCGUUUAAAUAUUUCUUGUCCUUUUACCUUUUCUUGGUUUUAGUAAUCGCUAAUGCAUCCAAAUCUUCUUUUUUUAAUUCCUUGCUUUUUCCAGUUUGUUCCUCAUAUUUUUCACCUUUUUGUAUUUGAGUGCCAGUUACUUUGCCCUUUUCGCUUGGUGUGUUCCGUAAGUUUUUGAAUGUUUUUCAUUUCUUUUUUUGAGGCAACAAUUACUGGCUGAUCGAUCUAUUUGUACGAUUUCCAUAUAUUGUGUUCUUUUUUAAUGUGCGUUCUUGUGUGUAUACAUAGUUGCUUGUGGCCUGUCCAAAUUGGUAACGUCUCAAAUAAGGGAUGCAUUUAUCAUUGCAUUAUUUUGUAUCCUACUUUUACUCGUAUUUUCUUUUUCAGUUUUCGCAAUUUCUGUGUACUGUUUUUGUAUAUUCAUUUUUUGUUUUGUCCAUUGUCUAUAAACAUAUUUAGAGGUGUAUUCCAUUUCAACUGUGUUCUGGACCCAGUAUGCUAUUUUGUCUAUUGUCUUUUUAAAUCUCAAGAGCUUCCAUAAUUUAAAUUUCUAGUUUUAUCUGCUUUGGUAUCAACUUUAUUUGUGCCAUUCUGGUUUCCUUUGUCUUCAAGUUUUAUGGACUUUAUCUUCUGAUUUUUUUAAAUGUCUUCCUUUGGGUGCUGCACACACUUCAAAUAUCUCCUUCAUUUAAUCUACAAUUUAUCAAAAAGUUCCAUAUUGUUUUCGUUGUACUAGUAAUCUUCUUUUUUUAGCAUACGCCCCUCUUCUGGUGUUUUCCGUUGUAGUAGUUCGGCAGUUAUUUUGGCUAGGUACCCCCAUCAUUUUUUAUCGUAAGCUUCUGUACUUUCUAUUUUAUGAUUUCCGAUGUGAUAUAAACGUUUCCUAUUCACCUUUGUUUCCAGCACUUACUUGAUCUCUUUUAAUAUGCUAUUUUUUCUUACAUA